AGAACGAACGCUGGCGGCGUGGAUAAGACAUGCAAGUCGAGCGCUGAUUAAAGGGUAGCAAUAUCUUUUAAUUGGAGCGGCGCAAGGGUGCGUAACACGUGGGUAAUUUGCCAUGAAGUUGGGGAUAACUUGCUGAAAGGCGAGCUAAUACCGAAUGUGGCCCGACGGAGACAUCUCUGUUUGGCUAAAGCUGGGGACCGCAAGGCCUGACGCUUCAUGAUAAACCCGCGGCCUAUCAGCUAGUUGGUGAGGUAACGGCCCACCAAGGCUAAGACGGGUAGCUGGUCUGAGAGGACGACCAGCCACACUGGAACUGAGAGACGGUCCAGACACCUACGGGUGGCAGCAGUCGAGAAUUUUCACAAUGGGGG
rnacentral:rRNA from 1 species